GGGGCUGAUUCUGGAUUCGACGGGAUUUGCGAAACCCAAGGUGCAUGCCGAGGGGCGGUUGGCCUCGUAAAAAGCCGCAAAAAAAUAGUCGCAAACGACGAAACCUACGCUUUAGCAGCUUAAUAACCUGCUUAGAGCCCUCUCUCCCUAGCCUCCGCUCUUAGGACGGGGAUCAAGAGAGGUCAAACCCAAAAGAGAUCGCGCGGAUUCCCUGCCUGGGGUUGAAGCGUUAAAACGAAUCAGGCUAGUCUGGUAGUGGCGUGUCCGUCCGCAGGUGCCAGGCGAAUGUAAAGACUGACUAAGCAUGUAGUACCGAGGAUGUAGGAAUUUCGGACGCGGGUUCAACUCCCGCCAGCUCCACCA
rnacentral:tmRNA from 2 species